CCCUUAGAUGUCCUGGGCCGCACGCGCGCUACACUGAUGCAUUCAACGAGUAUUUCCUUGGCCGAGAGGCCUGGGCAAUCUUUUAAACCUGCAUCGUGAUAGGGAUAGAUUAUUGCUAUUAUUAAUCUUGAACGAGGAAUUCCUAGUAAACGCAAAUCAUCAAUUUGCAUUGAUUACGUCCCUGCCCUUUGUACACACCGCCCGUCGCACCUACCGAUUGAAUGGUCCGGUGAAAUCUCGGGAUUGUGGCCAGUUCACUUUAUUGGGAGUUGGCUGCGAGAACUUGCUUAAACCUUAUCAUUUAGAGGAAGGUGAAGUCGUAACA
rnacentral:rRNA from 1 species